rnacentral:lncRNA from 1 species
AUGGGAAUACAUGUAGAUUCAUUCAAUUUCAAAAUACCAGGAUUUUCCUGUUUUCUAUGGGAUUCCCAAAUGCCAGAAUUCUGCGUUACUGACUGUGACAAAAUGGUUAUUUUUGUUAGGUCAAAAGGUCUGGAAUACAGUAGGCUAAAGAAAGCAAUGAUUUUGAAUGGCAUGGCUUCAUUCUCCUGCACCUGGAGAGGAACUGUCCGGCUGAUCAGGUUUCAUACCCUGGUUUACAGAGCAGGAGCAAGCCCGUCGUGUGAGAUCUCCUCUGUACUUAGGAUUCCCACACCUCAGAAGAGAAAGCAGGUUUCUUCAGUCAGAGGCUGGCGGGGAGUCUGUCCGUCCAUCCGUCCGUCUGUUCCUGCCUCUCCCCUUCCCCCACCGCCUUCCCGGGGAGCUGUGGCUGCGUGGGCACUAAUGUAUUCCGUAUAA